rnacentral:rRNA from 1 species
CAACAGCUAGAGUUUGAUCCUGGCUCAGAACGAACGCUGGCGGCAUGGAUUAGGCAUGCAAGUUGAACGAACUCCUUCGGGAGUGAGUAGCGGAAGGGUGAGGAACGCGUGAGUAAUCUGCCCCCCAGUUGGGAAUAACAGUUGGAAACGACUGCUAAUACCGAAUGUGGUUUAAGCUUCGCCUGGAGCUUUGGCUAAAGAUUUAUCGCUGGGGGAUGAGCUCGCGUCCCAUUAGGUAGUUGGUGAGGUAACGGCUCACCAAGCCGACGAUGGGUAGCUGGUCUGAGAGGAUGGUCAGCCACACUGGGACUGAGACACUGCCCAGACUCCUACGGGAGGCUGCAGUCGAGAAUCUUGGGCAAUGCGCGAAAGCGUGACCCAGCAAUGCCGCGUGUAUGAUGAAGGCCCUCGGGUCGUAAAGUACUGUCUCCCGUGACGAAAUUUGACGGUAGCGGGGAAGGAAGCCACGGCUAAACUACGUGCC